GACACCUCCACCUCCCACCUGGGGCCCAGGCCAGCACCCCAGCCUGGUCACAUCACCAGGCUGGCCACUGUCUCAUCACCUGGAGGAAGCCAAAAAAUCAGAGGUGCUAGGGCAAGGAGUGCGUGUGUGUGUGUGUGUGUGUGUGUGUGUGUGUAGAGUGUGUGUGUAUGUAUGUGUGCAUUCAGGCAUGCUGUCUCUUAUGUUCCAGAAAACAACUGGGCUCAACUCCUGCCCAGAGCUGGAACCCUGUUCCUCCCAGCUGAGUCAGCCCCAGGAAGAGCAUUGAUCAACCAGCGCUGCCCACAGUGUCACUGCAGGUGUUCACCGAGGCCUACUCCAAGUGCCAGUGACCUGGACAAGGACGUCCACCAGCCUGUGCGUCGGGGAGAGGAGCUCCGCUGCCGAAUAGGCUCAUCAUCAACUGAUAAGCAGGCAGGCUGACUUUCAGGUAUCAGAACUGAGUCUUAACUAUGAAGCUGCAGUUAUGAAGACAAGUAUAAAAUCAACACUUUCUGCUCGAAUCAAUGAGCCAUGUGUAAUCUGUAGCAAAGAGUACUUUUUGGAAAAAUUUUAACUGACAAAUCAAAAUUUAAACAUUGAAGUUAUCCAUGGUGAUGAUUUGGGUUGGCUGCAGACAGGUUACCAGUCAAAUUAAC
rnacentral:lncRNA from 1 species